rnacentral:rRNA from 1 species
CUACGGGGGGCUGCAGUCGAGAAUCUUCCGCAAUGGGCGCAAGCCUGACGGAGCAAUGCCGCGUGAGGGAUGACGGCCCUGGGGUUGUAAACCUCUGUCAGAAGGGACGAAGAACGUGACGGUACCUUCAGAGGAAGCCAUGGCUAACUACGUGCCAGCAGCCGCGGUAAUACGUAGAUGGCGAGCGUUAUUCGGAUUUACUGGGCGUAAAGGGUCCGUAGGGGGUCUGCCAAGUCUGAUGUGAAAUCCUGCGGCUCAACCGCGGAACUGCAUUGGAAACUGGCGGACUAGAGUGUGCGAGGGGUGAGCGGAAUUCCUGGUGUAGCGGUGGAAUGCGUAGAUAUCAGGAAGAACACCGAUGGCGAAGGCGGCUCACUGGCGCAUCACUGACCCUGAGGGACGAAAGCGUGGGUAGCAAACAGGAUUAGAUACCCUCGUAGUC